CCUCCUCUUCCUCCUCCUCCUCCUCCUCCUCCUCCUCCUCCUCCUCCUCCUCCUCUCCUUCCUAACUACAACUACUACCACCAUCUUGACCUGCCCAUGUCAGUGUUAGGAAGGCCACGACUACUACACACUACGAGACGACCUGGCCAUGUCUGCAUCCAGGACCUUUGGGAGCAGCACAUACAAAUACUGUUUAAGAAUUUGCCACACCAAUGGACCAUACAACCAGCUACCACAACUACCAACAUUCCUACCACAACUACCACCAUCGAUCGGCCGGAUAGUGGUUGGCAGGUCUUCCGGGACAUGGCCAAGGUCCGGUUUUACUGCAAUCACUGUGGCGACGGGUGGACCAGUAUGUAUGGGAGUGUCACAUUCUACUAUCACCUAACUACUACUACUACUACUACUACUACUACUACUACUGGACGCAUCUUCUACCAUUUACCAGGCCAGAGGUGUGGUGGUGGUGGUGGUGGUUGUAGUAGUAGUGGUUAUUGUCAGCCACUGUGGUACCCGGAGGAGAUACAGAAGUUCAUUAAAACGAGGCGCCUUGGCCGUCCCGGGACCUUCCAUAACCGUAGGCUGUGCGAGGGUUGUUAUAUCGGGGUCUGCAAGUGAGAGGGAGAGAUGGAGAGAAAAGUGAGAGUGAGAGGGGAGUGGGUAGGUGACGGAUUGGAGAGAAAAAAAGACUAGGAUGGAGAGAAUUGUGGAG
rnacentral:lncRNA from 1 species